AUGUGGUUCCCAGUAAGGCUUCCAAGGGCCACAUCCCUAAUGGCCACUCUACUUUUUCACAUUUUUCUCCCCAGUCAUGGCCAUUUAACCACACCUGCAGGAUGCACUAAACUCCAACCUUCUGGAUCAAUUCUCUUCUUGGCAAGAAUCAUUCUUUCUGUCUCUCUACUGCCUGUCCUCCAUACCAUUUUCUUUUCCCGGUUGGCUUCUGCCUUUUUGUCUUCCUCCAGCAUGACCCCUUUCUCCAGUGGUUUCUCAGCUCUCUGUUCUCCACCCUCUCCUUCCUUCAAAUGUGAUGGAGGUAGAAGCAGAUUGUCAAGUCUCCCAGCCAUCCUCAGGUAGGAUAACUGUACUGCUGCUGGAUAGCUUGAGGCCUGAGUUUUAAGCAGUUGGGUGGGGGUGGGGGGGACAUGGACAAAUGAGUCAUAUGAACAGGAAGAUACCACCAACUGGUAAUCUAUGUCCUCUGAAAUUUAGGAUUGAGAAGCAAGGAAGGUUGCAGGAGUUUCAUAAUUUCCAGUGGGUACCUGGGGAAGAGCCUUAGACCAUGAGUCAGGAUAUUCUUUUUUUUUUAAGAUUUUUUUUUUUAUUUGUUCAUGAGAGACACACAGAGAGAGGCAGAGACAUAGGCAGAGGGAGAAGCAGGCUCCCUGAAGGAAGCCCAAUGCAGGACUUGAUCCCAGGACCCCAGGAUCACUCUCUGAACUGAAGGCAGAUGCUUAACCAUUGAGCCACCCACAGGUCCCAAGUCAGGACAUUUUGUUUCAGCUCUGCCAUGAACUAAGUGCAGUAUAUUUGAGCUGGUCUUUUAUCUUCCAAAAUUUGGAUACAACAUGAAAUAAGAUUAUUAUUCAGUGUAAGCACUGAGUUGCUAUUCAGAUCUUGGAGAAAGGAAUUACUUUCAUUCUGAGGUUUUAUUUUUAGGAACCAAAUCAAAGAUGUAAGCAAGAGGGUGAUAAUGAUGAUGGAUGAUGAUGAUGAUGAUGAUGAUGAUGAUGGCAAUGCAGAGGAGAUGGAAAAAGAUGAUCCUUUAACGCAAGUAUGGGGGUCAAAGAAGCUGCUUAUUUCUGAGACUUUGCCUUUGCAUUCCUGUAGGAGACAAAGGAAAAUGAAGUUUCUCUUCAGACUUUUGUUAGUCCCUUGGUCACCCAGAUUUUACAUUUUUGAAGUGGUAUAAUUUUAAGAGAACAAAACUCUUCCUCUUUAUAUACCACCAUCCUUAUUCUUUAAUAAAUGCAUAUUGGGUUUCUUUUGGUAAGAAAGG
rnacentral:lncRNA from 12 species